AUGCUGGGGGGAGGAAAAAAGGACCGGGAGGGGAGGCGGGGGGGGGCGCUGACCCGGCGGGGAGGCAACCGGGGAGCGGCCCCCGGGCAGGGCACGGCCGCGGGGCUCCCCCCCCAAACCCUGCCACCCCCCUGUCCCCCGGGCGGGCUCCGGAGCCGCCUUCCUCUGCCUCUCCUCAUCCCUCACCCUCCUCAUCCUCCUCCUCCUCCCGCUCCCGGCCCACGCUCACCUGCCGCCGGCUGCCCCCAGGGCUCCGCUCGCACCGGGGCGCCCCCGGCCCCGCCUCGCCGCCGGCCUCCAGCCCCCAGCCCCCCUUUUUGCUCCCCUUUCCUCCCCCUUUUCCCCCCCGUUCCCCUCCCCGGCCCCACAGCUCCUCCUCCUCCUCCUCCCCCCCCAACCCCACACCGGGGCCGGGCCCCGGCGCUCCCCUCCUGCUCUCCUCAGCGGGUCGUUACCUGCCGUGGCGGCGCAGAGCGGGGCCCCGGGGCCUGUGGCAGGCGGAGAAGAAGAAGAAGGAGGAGGUGGAGGAGGAGGAGGAGGCGGCGGCGGGCUCCGUCCCGCUGCUGCCGUCCCCGAGCGAGGCGGGCGGGCCGGGGCCGGGCCCUGCCCCGUGAGGCGGUACGGGCGGGGGGGGGGGGGGGGGGGGGGGGGGGGGGGGGCGGCCGCUCCGUCACUAGGCAACAAGCCGCAGCGCCCCGGCGGACCGCGCCGCGGGCUCCUCCCUGUAUCCUUCCGCCCGCGGGGCGGCGCGGAUCCCGCCGCCGACGGGCGGCUGUAGGGCCGAACGUGUGGUUCUCAGAGAUCCGCAGCGAGCAUUCCAGAAUUACCAUGUUGGAAAUGUCUGAGGUUUUGGCAGCUUGCUGUCUUACAAAUAGUUCAUGAAUACAAUUAACCAUCCUUGAGUAGCCUGCAGCAUCAGCAUCCAAUCCUUGCCUUACUCGUCAGAAAUAUAAUUAUUGUUCCCCAGUAAUUCCGCCAAGCAUUUUUUUCAUAUAUUGGCCAUAUUUUCAGCCAGUGAAAAUGCUGAGAAUAGAGUUGGUUGCAUUAUACUAGCUGCCGAUCUGGCCAUACAUUUUCGAAUGAAGACUUUAAAAAGACAACUAUACUAAGAGAGUUAUUCCGUCUCUAUUAAUGAUUUACAUGAAAUUAAAAAUGAAAUAAACACAUGAAAAUAUAUCA
rnacentral:lncRNA from 1 species